GUCGAACGAACUCUGGUAUUGAUUGGUGCUCGCAUCAUGAUUUACAUUUGAGUGAGUGGCGAACUGGUGAGUAACACGUGGGAAACCUGCCCAGAAGCGGGGGAUAACACCUGGAAACAGAUGCUAAUACCGCAUAACAACUUGGACCGCAUGGUCCGAGUUUGAAAGAUGGCUUCGGCUAUCACUUUUGGAUGGUCCCGCGGCGUAUUAGCUAGAUGGUGGGGUAACGGCUCACCAUGGCAAUGAUACGUAGCCGACCUGAGAGGGUAAUCGGCCACAUUGGGACUGAGACACGGCCCAAACUCCUACGGGAGGCAGCAGUAGGGAAUCUUCCACAAUGGACGAAAGUCUGAUGGAGCAACGCCGCGUGAGUGAAGAAGGGUUUCGGCUCGUAAAACUCUGUUGUUAAAGAAGAACAUAUCUGAGAGUAACUGUUCAGGUAUUGACGGUAUUUAACCAGAAAGCCACGGCUAACUACGUGCCAGCAGCCGCGGUAAUACGUAGGUGGCAAGCGUUGUCCGGAUUUAUUGGGCGUAAAGCGAGCGCAGGCGGUUUUUUAAGUCUGAUGUGAAAGCCUUCGGCUCAACCGAAGAAGUGCAUCGGAAACUGGGAAACUUGAGUGCAGAAGAGGACAGUGGAACUCCAUGUGUAGCGGUGAAAUGCGUAGAUAUAUGGAAGAACACCAGUGGCGAAAGCGGCUGUCUGGUCUGUAACUGACGCUGAGGCUCGAAAGUAUGGGUAGCAAACAGGAUUAGAUACCCUGGUAGUCCAUACCGUAACGAUGAAUGCUAAGUGUUGGAGGGUUUCGCCCUUCAGUGCUGCAGCUAACGCAUUAGCAUCGCUGGGGAGUA
rnacentral:rRNA from 2 species